rnacentral:miRNA from 1 species
AAACUGCAUGUGAAAUGGACA